UACGGGAGGCAGCAGUGGGGAAUAUUGCACAAUGGGCGAAAGCCUGAUGCAGCGACGCCGCGUGAGCGAAGAAGUAUUUCGGUAUGUAAAGCUCUAUCAGCAGGGAAGAUAAUGACGGUACCUGACUAAGAAGCACCGGCUAAAUACGUGCCAGCAGCCGCGGUAAUACGUAUGGUGCAAGCGUUAUCCGGAUUUACUGGGUGUAAAGGGAGCGCAGGCGGUGCGGCAAGUCUGAUGUGAAAGCCCGGGGCUCAACCCCGGUACUGCAUUGGAAACUGUCGUACUAGAGUGUCGGAGGGGUAAGCGGAAUUCCUAGUGUAGCGGUGAAAUGCGUAGAUAUUAGGAGGAACACCAGUGGCGAAGGCGGCUUACUGGACGAUAACUGACGCUGAGGCUC
rnacentral:rRNA from 1 species